rnacentral:misc_RNA from 1 species
GAUGAAGAACGAAGUGAAAUGCGAUAAGUAAUGUGAAUUGCAGAAUUCAGUGAAUCAUCGAAUCUUUGAACGCACAUUGCGCCCGGUAGUAUUCUGCCGGGCAUGCCUGUUCGAGCGUCAUUUCAACCAUCAAGCCCCAGCGCUUGUGUUGGGGGCCUGCGGCUGCCGCAGCCCCCUAAAAGCAGUGGCGGGCUCGCUAUCACACCGAGUGCAGUAGUUCAUCUUCUCUCCGGUCUUGUGAGGCGGGUUCCGGCCGUGAAACACCCCACUACAUUCAAGGUUGACCUCGGAUCAGGUAGGAAUACCCGCUGAACUUAAGCAUAUCAAUAAGCGGAGGA